GAUUAACGCUAGCGGCAGGCAUAAUACAUGCAAGUUGAACGGCAGCACAGGUAGCAAUACUGGGUGGCGAGUGGCGCACGGGUGCGUAACACGUAUGCAACCUACCCUAUACAGGCGAAUAACCUUUAGAAAUGAGGGCUAAUACGCCGUAGUAUUACAGAUGGGCAUCUAUUUGUAAUUAAAGAUUUAUCGGUAUAGGAUGGGCAUGCGUCCCAUUAGUUAGUUGGUAAGGUAACGGCUUACCAAGACGAUGAUGGGUAGGGGAUCUGAGAGGACUUACCCCCACACUGGUACUGAGACACGGACCAGACGCCUACGGGAGGCAGCAGUAAGGAAUAUUGGGCAAUGGCCGCGAGGCUGACCCAGCCAUGCCGCGUGCAGGAAGACGGCCUUAUGGGUUGUAAACUACUUUUAUACGGGAAUAAUAGAGUGUACGCGUACAUUUAUGCAAGUAUCGUAUGAAUAAGCAUCGGCUAACUCCGUG
rnacentral:rRNA from 1 species